rnacentral:rRNA from 1 species
AGAGUUUGAUCCUGGCUCAGGAUGAACGCUGGCGGUCUGCUUAACACAUGCAAGUCGAACGGAAUUCUUCGGGAUUUAGUGGCGGACGGGUGAGUAACACGUGAGAAUCUGCACUCAGGAUGGGGACAACAGCGGGAAACUGCUGCUAAUACCCAAUGUGCCGAAAGGUGAAAGAUUUAUCGCCUGAGAAUGAGCUCGCGGCCGAUUAGUUAGUUGGUGGGGUAAAGGCCUACCAAGACGGCGAUCGGUAGCUGGUCUGAGAGGAUGAGCAGCCACACUGGGACUGAGACACGGCCCAGACUCCUACGGGAGGCAGCAGUGGGGAAUUUUCCGCAAUGGGCGCAAGCCUGACGGAGCAAGACCGCGUGGGGGAGGAAGGCUCUUGGGCUGUAAACCCCUUUUCUCAGGGAAGAACACAAUGACGGUACCUGAGGAAUCAGCCUCGGCUAACUCCGUGCCAGCAGCCGCGGUAAUACGGAGGAGGCAAGCGUUAUCCGGAAUUAUUGGGCGUAAAGCGUCCGCAGGUGGUGGGGCAAGUCGGCGGUUAAAGACUGGGGCUUAACUCCAGAAAGGCCGUGGAAACUGCACCACUAGAGGGCAGUAGGGGUAGAGGGAAUUCCCGGUGUAGCGGUGAAAUGCGUAGAGAUCGGGAAGAACACCAGUGGCGAAAGCGCUCUACUGGACUGCAACUGACACUCAGGGACGAAAGCUAGGGGAGCGAAUGGAAUUAGAUACCCCAGUAGUCCUAGCCGUAAACGAUGGAUACUAGGUGUUGUCUGUAUCGACCCAGACAGUGCCGUAGCUAACGCGAUAAGUAUCCCGCCUGGGGAGUACGCACGCAAGUGUGAAACUCAAAGGAAUUGACGGGGGCCCGCACAAGCGGUGGAGUAUGUGGUUUAAUUCGAUGCAACGCGAAAAACCUUACCAGGGCUUGACAUGUCGCGAACCCCGCUGAAAGGUGGGGGUGCCUUCGGGAGCGCGAACACAGGUGGUGCAUGGCUGUCGUCAGCUCGUGUCGUGAGAUGUUGGGUUAAGUCCCGCAACGAGCCGCAACCCUCGUUCUUAGUUGCCAUCAUUCAGUUGGGCACUCUAGGGAGACUGCCGGUGAUAAACCGGAGGAAGGUGGGGAUGACGUCAAGUCAUCAUGCCCCUUACGUCCUGGGCUACACACGUACUACAAUGGGUGGGACAAAGGGCAGCGAACUCGCAAGAGCCGGCUAAUCCCAUAAACCUACCCUCAGUUCAGAUUGCUCUCUGCAACUCGAGAGCAUGAAGGAGGAAUCGCUAGUAAUCGCAGGUCAGCAUACUGCGGUGAAUACGUUCCCGGGCCUUGUACACACCGCCCGUCACACCAUGGAAGUUGGCCAUGCCCGAAGUCAUUACUCUAACCCCUCGGGGAGGAGGAUGCCGAAGGCAGGGCUGAUGACUGGGGUGAAGUCGUAACAAGGUA